GACGAACGCUGGCGGCGUGCUUAACACAUGCAAGUCGAACGGAAAGGCCCUGCUUUUGUGGGGUGCUCGAGUGGCGAACGGGUGAGUAACACGUGAGUAACCUGCCCUUGACUUUGGGAUAACUUCAGGAAACUGGGGCUAAUACCGGAUAGGAGCUCCUGCUGCAUGGUGGGGGUUGGAAAGUUUCGGCGGUUGGGGAUGGACUCGCGGCUUAUCAGCUUGUAGGUGGGGUAGUGGCUUACCAAGGCUUUGACGGGUAGCCGGCCUGAGAGGGUGACCGGCCACAUUGGGAAUGAGAUACGGCCCAGACUCCUACGGGAGGCAGCAGUGGGGAAUAUUGCACAAUGGGCGGAAGCCUGAGGCAGCAACGCCGCGUGCGGGAUGACGGCCUUCGGGUUGUAAACCGCUUUCGCCUGUGACGAAGCGUGAGUGACGGUAAUGGGUAAAGAAGCACCGGCUAACUACGUGCCAGCCGCCGCGGUAA
rnacentral:rRNA from 1 species